UACAGAGGUGGCAAGCGUUGUUCGGAAUUACUGGGCGUAAAGGGCGCGUAGGCGGCCCGCUAAGUCGAACGUGAAAUCCCCGGGCUCAACCCGGGAACUGCGUCCGAUACUGGCAGGCUUGAAUCCGGGAGGGGGAUGUGGAAUUCCAGGUGUAGCGGUGAAAUGCGUAGAUAUCUGGAGGAACACCGGUGGCGAAGGCGGCAUCCUGGACCGGUAUUGACGCUGAGGCGCGAAAGCCAGGGGAGCAAACGGG
rnacentral:rRNA from 1 species